UGAGGAAUAUUGGGCAAUGCCCGAAAGGGUGACCCAGCAACGCCGCGUGGAGGAUGAAGGUCGUAAGAUUGUAAACUCCUGUUAGAGGGGAAGAAUAACUAAGUUUGGAGCUUAGUAUGACUGUACCCUCAGAGAAAGCCCCGGCUAACUACGUGCCAGCAGCCGCGGUAAUACGUAGGGGGCAAGCGUUGUCCGGAUUUACUGGGUGUAAAGGGCGCGCAGGCGGAAUGGAAAGUCAGUAGUGAAAUCCUACAGCUUAACUGUAGAACUGCCGUGGNUACUUUCAUUCUUGAGUUCGGGAGAGAGAGACGGAAUUCCAGGUGUAGUGGUGAAAUACGUAGAUAUCUGGAAGAACACCAGUUGCGAAGGCGGUCUCUUGGUCCGAUACUGACGCUGAGGCGCGAAAGCGUGGGGAGCAAACA
rnacentral:rRNA from 1 species